CCUACGGGAGGCUGCAGUGGGGAAUAUUGCACAAUGGGCGAAAGCCUGAUGCAGCAACGCCGCGUGAAGGAAGAAGGGUUUCGGCUCGUAAACUUCUAUCAACAGGGACGAAAGAAAUGACGGUACCUGAAUAAGAAGCACCGGCUAACUACGUGCCAGCAGCCGCGGUAAUACGUAGGGGGCAAGCGUUAUCCGGAAGUACUGGGUGUAAAGGGUGAGUAGGCGGCAUGGUAAGCCAGAUGUGAAAGCCUUGGGCUUAACCCGAGGAUUGCAUUUGGAACUAUCAAGCUAGAGUACAGGAGAGGAAAGCGGAAUUCCUGGUGUGGCGGUGAAAUGCGUAGAUAUUAGGAAGAACACCAGUGGCGACGGCGGCUUUCUGGACUGAAACUGACGCUGAGGCACGAACGCGUGGGGCGCGAACAGGCUUGGCUACCCUCGUCGU
rnacentral:rRNA from 1 species